GCGAUUCGACAUGAUCUGAUUGUUUUCUUUCUUGCUUUUAUUUUAGUUUAAUUUUUUAUUUUUAUUGAAGUAUCAUUUUUGUUGUUGUAGUUUUUUGAUUUGAUUUUUUUUGCGAUAGUUUAUUUGUACUGUGAGGGGUUGUUGUUUAUUUUUUAAAAGCUGAUUUUGUUUGUUGUACCUUGUGUAUCAGGGUUUAUUGAAUUUUAUUAUUUAUUUUUAUUUCCCGAUUUUAAAGGAGUUAAUGGUUUAUUUUAGUUACUGUUUCAUCAGUAUUAAUAAUAUUCUUUUGGUAGUGAAAUGUUAGUCGUCUUUAGUGGUUUCUGGUUUUCCAAGAAAUGAAUUUAAUUCAUGCGUCUUAUUUAUGUUUUAUCGUUUGUUUAUUUUGUUUUAUUUGGCGUUAAGAUUGGGGGGGAUUAGCUCUUUUUUUUAUUCUUAUAAUUUUUGUUUUUUCUAGUUUUGUGGGUUUUAUGGUGAUUUUCAAUUUGAUUAUGUUAAAAUUUUAUUUUUUCUUUUUUCUAUUUUCUUUUGGUUUAUUUUUUUAUUGGAAUGUUUUUUUUAUCUUGUUUUGUUUAGUAAUUAUUGUGGAAUUAGUAAAUUUUUUUUUGUGUUGUUUGUUGGGUGUUAAUUUCUUUUAAGGAAUUAGGCAAAUAUUUCAUGUCCGCCUGUUUAACAAAAACAUCUUUUCUUGUUAGUUUUUGAAGUAUGGCCUGCCCACUGAUUUUUAUUGAAGGGCCGCGGUAUUUUGACCGUGCAAAGGUAGCAUAAUCAUUAGUUCUUUAAUUGUGAUCUGGUAUGAAUGGCUUGACGAGGCAUGAGCUGUCUUAAGUUUGGGAUAGGUUUAUUGAAUUUGGUUUUUGAGUUAGAAUUCUUAAAUGUUUUUAUGGGACGAGAAGACCCUAUAGAGUUUGACAUAUAUUAUAUAGUUUUGUUUGGUUUGUUAUCUAAUUGCUUUUGUUAUUUGUUUUGUUGGGGUGAUGGGAAGAAUUUUUUUAACUCUUCUUUGUUCUGAUAUAUUUAUGUAUAUUUGUUUUGAUCCAUUUAUUUUGAUUAUAAGAUUAAAUUACCUUAGGGAUAACAGCGUUAUCUUCCUUGAGAGUUCUUAUUGGCGGGGGGGUUUGCGACCUCGAUGUUGGAUUAAGGUUAAUUUUUGGUGUAGAAGCUGAAUUGAUUAGGUCUGUUCGACCUUUAAAAUCUUACAUGAUCUGAGUUCAAACCGGCGUGAGCCAGGUUGGUUUCUAUCUAUAAUGAGUUUUUAUGUCUUAGUACGAGAGGACCGGGUAUUUGAAAUAAUUUUAUUUUUAUUGCGUUUUAUUAAUGGUGUUUGCUAUUUUGGCAGAUAAGUGCGUUAGAUUUAGAAUCUAUUAAUGUGAAUU
rnacentral:rRNA from 1 species